rnacentral:rRNA from 1 species
UCGAGGACGAACGCUGGCGGCGUGCUUAACACAUGCAAGUCGAACGGAAGGCCUCUUCGGGGGUACUCGAGUGGCGAACGGGUGAGUAACACGUGAGUAACCUGCCCUUUGACUUUGGGAUAACUUCAGGAAACUGGGGCUAAUACCGGAUAGGAGCUCCUGCUGCAUGGUGGGGGUUGAAAGUUUCGGCGGUUGGGGAUGGACUCGCGGCUUAUCAGCUUGUUGGUGGGGUAGUGGCUUACCAAGGCUUUGACGGGUAGCCGGCCUGAGAGGGUGACCGGCCACAUUGGGACUGAGAUACGGCCCAGACUCCUACGGGAGGCAGCAGUGGGGAAUAUUGCACAAUGGGUGGAAGCCUGAUGCAGCAACGCCGUGUGCGGGAUGACGGCCUUCGGGUUGUAAACCGCUUUCGCUCAUGACGAAGCUUUGUGUGACGGUAGUGGGUAAAGAAGCACCGGCUAACCACGUG